rnacentral:rRNA from 1 species
GCAGUAGGGAAUCUUCCNCAAUGGACGAAAGUCUGACGGAGCAACGCCGCGUGAGCGAUGAAGGUUUUCGGAUCGUAAAACUCUGUUGUUAGGGAAGAACAAGUGCCANNCGAAUAGGUUGGNACCUUGACGGNACCUAACCAGAANGCCCCGGCUAACUACGUGCCAGCAGCCGCGGUAAUACGUAGGGGGCAAGCGUUGUCCGGAAUUAUUGGGCGUAAAGCGCGCGCAGGCGGUCCUUUAAGUCUGAUGUGAAAGCCCACGGCUUAACCGUGGAGGGCCAUUGGAAACUGGGGGACUNGAGUACAGAAGAGGAGAGUGGAAUUCCACGUGUAGCGGUGAAAUGCGUAGAGAUGUGGAGGAACACCAGUGGCGAAGGCGACUCUCUGGUCUGUAACUGACGCUGAGGUGCGAAAGCGUGGNUAGCGAACAGGAUUAGAUACCCUGGUAGUCCACGCCGUAAACGAUGAGUGCUAGGUGUUAGGGGGUUUCCGCCUCUUAGUGCUGAAGUUAACGCAUUAAGCACUCCGCCUGGGGAGUACGGCCGCAAGGCUGAAACUCAAAAGAAUUGACGGGGACCCGCACAAGCGGUGGAGCAUGUGGUUUAAUUCGAAGCAACGCGAAGAACCUUACCAGGUCUUGACAUCCUCUGACGCCCCUAGAGAUAGGGAGUUCCCUUCGGGGACAGAGUGACAGGUGGUGCAUGGUUGUCGNCAGCUCGUGUCGUGAGAUGUUGGGUUAAGUCCCGCAACGAGCGCAACCCUUGAUCUUAGUNGCCAGCAUCUAGNUGGGCACUCUAAGGUGACUGCCGGUGACAAACCGGAGGAAGGUGGGGAUGACGUCAAAUCAUCAUGCCCCUUAUGACCUGGGCUACACACGUGCUACAAUGGAUGGAACAAAGGGCAGCGAAGCCGCGAGGCCAAGCAAAUCCCAUAAAACCA